rnacentral:misc_RNA from 1 species
CUUCGCUCUUCGCAAGAUCUCUCUCUUAGUUUCUCCUUUCUUAGAUCUCAUUACUUCACAACUGUACCUUCCAAUCUCAGUAAAGCUGCAGUUAGAUCCCCAUUUCCAUCUCUUUGAUCUCUUUUCUUCCUUUCCGAUCCACUUUCCCGAGAAAAACUGACCCCUUUAAUUUCUCCUGGUUUCUCUGUCGCCAAACACAGAAUUAGAC